UGAUACUUUUAAAAUCGAUCAUAAAAUAACUGAUCUUAAAAGUACUUUUAAGAUCGGUUAUUUUAUAACCGAUCUUAAAAGUGCCA
rnacentral:miRNA from 1 species